AUGAGCAGGUUGAAGGUGCAGUAACAUGCACUGGAGGCCCGAACCGUUGCACGUUGAAAAGUGCUCGGAUGACCUGUGUCUAGGGGUGAAAGGCCAAUCAAACUUGCUGAUAGCUGGUUCUCUGCGAAAUCUAUUUAGGUAGAGCGUUAGAUGAAUACCAUCGGGGGUAGAGCACUGGAUGGGCUAGGGGGUCUCACCGACUUACCAAACCUAACCAAACUCCGAAUACCGAUGAGUAAUAUCUGGCAGACACACUACGGGUGCUAAGGUCCGUAGUGGAAAGGGAAACAGCCCUGACCGCCAGCUAAGGUCCCUAAGUUAUGGCUAAGUGGGAAAGGAUGUGAGAGUGCAUAGACAACCAGGAUGUUGGCUUAGAAGCAGCCAUCAUUUAAAGAAAGCGUAACAGCUCACUCAUCAAGCGAUCCUGCGCCGAAAAUGUAACGGGGCUAAAGCCAUUUACCGAAAUUGUGGGCUUCUUUUAGAAGCGGUAGCGGAGCGUUCCGUAAGCCUGCGAAGGUGACCUGUGAGGGUUGCUGGAGGUAUCGGAAGUGAGAAUGUUGACAUGAGUAGCGACAAAGCGGGUGAGAGACCCGCUCGCCGAAAAUCCAAGGGUUCCUGCGUAAAGCUAAUCUGCGCAGGGU
rnacentral:rRNA from 1 species